rnacentral:pre_miRNA from 1 species
AGCUAUUCGAAUCCGUGCUGGGAUUUCGUCAGACACCAACCCACUAAGGGUGAUCAGACUUCCAAGAUAAGUGGAGUU